UCUCUGACUCUAUCGGUCCCCUUCCCUUGUGUCCGAUCUCUCUCCAGGCUCCGGCGGAAUUCUGUAGUUGUGCAGCUUGUGCUCUCCCACCUUUUGCCAUCGUUCGCCGCCGCCGCCGCCGCCCGCCGAGCCCUCGGGAAGGACAGCACGAUGGUUCAGAAGAAGAAGAAAGCAGCCGCGCCGGCCAAGCUCCGCAAGCCGCCGAAGCGCGACGCGGGAAAGAAGCUCGGCAAGAAGGCUGACAUGACGGAGUUCAGGGCGCAGCUGGACUCCCUGGGGCUAAAGAUAGUCGAAGUGAACGCAGAUGGCAAUUGCUUUUUCAGGGCAAUGGGUGACCAGCUUGAGGGCAGUGAAGAAGAGCACAUGAAGUACCGAGCAAUGGUUGUGGAGUACAUAGUGAAGCACCGUGAGGAUUUUGAGCCAUUUAUUGAGGAUGAAGUUCCGUUCGAACAAUAUUGCGACUCUAUGCUAAAAGAUGGGACUUGGGCUGGCCAUAUGGAGUUGCAAGCAGCUUCUCUUCUCACUAGAAGAAACAUAUGUAUCCACAUGCUUAACUCGCCGCGUUGGUAUAUAAACAACUUCUCUGGCCGUGAAGCUGCUAAUAUGAUUCACCUGUCUUAUCAUCAUGGUGAGCACUACAACAGUGUCAGGCUCAGAGAAGAUCCAUGUCAAGGUCCUGCAAUGCAAGUUAUUAUCAAGACGGAUGCCAACAUAUCUAGUGCAAACAAUAAUGCUCAAACAAAAGCAAAGGACCCGAAGAAAUCCUCACACAGAUCAACCUAUGAUCAAACAUCAGUUAAAUUGAUCAUGGCUGGAACUGGAUGUUCUGAUGCUGCCAUAGCUGAGCACGUUUUGGAAGAAAUGGACGGAGAUGUUGAUGCUGCCAUUGAGUACAUGCUAGUGGAUCGAGUUGCAAUGGGUACUGAUGAUAUGGAGGGAGACCCUUAUUUGGACUAUGCAUGUAAGGUAGAUGAAUUUUCUAAAUGGCACGAUGAGAACCAGUCGAUUGAGCACAAGGAUCAAGCUAGUUGUUCUAGCAAAGAUGAAACAGUUGAGAAACCAAACAAUUCACAUUCUACACAUUCCAAGGAAAAGUCCAAAACCAAGGAUUGCUCUUGUGGAACUGCGAAGAAGCACAAGGUGUCUUGUAGUUUAGCCGCAGCUACAACAUCAAGAGAACCUCCAAGGGCCAAAGGUGGCCAAGGAAAAGGCCAGAAAGGAAAGAAGCAAAAGAAGAAGGAACAGUCCGAAGCAGCACCCGUCAAGGUCAAGCAGUCUGCAGUUGUACCAGACCUAGGAGCUCUUUGCAUAUGAACACUGAUUGGGUCGUGCUUUACUCUGAUGGUUUGCACCGACUGCUGCAUUCUGGUUGUGAUUUCAGAUUCUCAAUUAAAGUCUGUCAUCUGCUGAGUGCUGAGUGAAUGACCAAUAGGAAAAAAUCUUCAAGUGUGAGUGUGAACAGAUCAUCUAUUUAACCUGGAGCUCUAGAAUUCUAGAUGCUGUACGAUGCUCAGCUGAAGCUAUAACUGAGCUGCAUUUAACACCACUAGAACAUUCGGCGCGCGAUGCGCGCCCUACUAUCUGAACAAUCAAAUGUAAGUAAUACAUUGCUUGUUUCAAGGUUGUUA